rnacentral:miRNA from 1 species
UGUUUGUAUAGUGUGUGUAUAUAAUGCAGUGUGUUUGUGUAGUGUGCAUUAUAUAAACAUUAUAUAAACACACUGCAUUAUAUACACACACUAUGCAAAC